rnacentral:rRNA from 1 species
AACGAACGCUGGCGGCAGGCCUAACACAUGCAAGUCGAGCGCGCCUUCGGGUGAGCGGCGGACGGGUGAGUAACGCGUGGGAAUAUGCCCUUCUCUACAGAAUAGUCCUGGGAAACUGGGGGUAAUACCGUAUACGCCCUUUGGGGGAAAGAUUUAUCGGGGAAGGAUUAGCCCGCGUUGGAUUAGGUAGUUGGUGGGGUAAUGGCCUACCAAGCCGACGAUCCAUAGCUGGUUUGAGAGGAUGAUCAGCCACACUGGGACUGAGACACGGCCCAGACUCCUACGGGAGGCAGCAGUGGGGAAUCUUAGACAAUGGGGGCAACCCUGAUCUAGCCAUGCCGCGUGAGUGAUGAAGGCCUUAGGGUUGUAAAGCUCUUUCAGCUGGGAAGAUAAUGACGGUACCAGCAGAAGAAGCCCCGGCUAACUCCGUG